rnacentral:rRNA from 1 species
UAGAGCAAUUCAAAUAAGGUACAGCCUAUUUGAAACAGGAUACAACCUACACUAACGGGUUACCACCACAUCAAACCAACCAAGUGGGCCUAAAAGCAGCCACCUUUAAUGACAGCGUCAAAGCUUAAUUGGAUUACAUAAUUAUCCCAACACUUCCACACAACCCUUAACUUUUAUUGAGUAUUUCUAUAAAUUUAUAGAAGAUUUUAUGUCAAAACUAGUAACAAGAAGAAGACCUUCUCUUAAAUGCAAGUGUAAACCAGAAAGGACAGACCACUGAUAAUUAACACAUCUGAACAUAAAAUGGUAACCUCACAAGAAAACCCCAGUAAAUUAAAUGUUAAACUAACACAAGAGCAUUAAAAGAAAGAUUAAAAGAAAAAGAAGGAACUCGGCAAAUAUUAACCCCGCCUGUUUACCAAAAACAUCGCCUUGUAAGUAAUAUAGAUCCAUAUGCCAGUGCAGGAAGAUA